CAUCUGGGGCGGUUAGGAAAAACCCUAAAAUCUGGCUGGGUUUUUUUCUUUCGACAUAAAACUAAUCAUGUCCUUAAACACAAGCAAAAUAGUCAUGAGACAAGAGAGAAAUUCAAGGUCAAUAAGCUUUCUUUAGAAUUACACAGCUAGGAAAUUUAGUUCAAAAAGCUGUUUCAAUUUUGGAAAUUCAAAAUAAUAACAUUUUAGUUUGAAUUGCACAUAAGAAGAGAAUCGCCAUUAUGUUUUUAGUGCAGAUUAAGUCGCAGGAUCUUAAUUUUCCCCUGCCCCAAAGCCACAUGUUCUGGUCCCAUGAGAGCAGCCUAAAGACAGCACAGGAAAGUCACAUUUCUGUAGCUGCUGGUAGAAGUGACUAGAGCUGCAAAUUCGAGUCUUGUCAGUGGAGAGAAGCUGCAAACAAGAUCAGAGGAACCACAGCUUCUGUCAACUUGCAUGUAAAAAUAUGGAGUUGGAGAUCCACCAGCAUUACCAGCAGGUCUCAGAAGAGUGGUGACUUCCCACCUGAAGCCUUCCUUGACACUGCAGCAAUCUUGGAACAGCCAACACUUACACAGCUGUUACUAUUCUGUGGCCUAGGGAAGCCAAAAAAUUGGACACUCCUGAUACACAUGUUGAGAAACUCAAGUCCUAAGGUCAUCAUUACUUUUCUGAAGAAAAAUGUUUUGUGGGAUGAAGAUUCUCACUCUGAACAGAUGGAGGUGGUGCAAGUGCUGUUUUGUUAUGUGCCUAUAUUGCACAGUGGUGAAGCCUGGGUUUUUAAUGCAGCCAUCACCUACGCAAGUGUAUUUUUCUCCAUUAAGUAACUUCUCUUUCCUCACCCUCUUCCUACCCUUCUAAGUCUCCAAUGUCUAUUACUCUACUCUAUGUCCACAGGUAUACACGAUUUAGCUCCCAAUUAAUAAGUGAGAACACGUGGUAUUUGACUUUCUGUUUCUGAGUUACUUGACUUAAGGCAAAAAUAUUUUUUAAAAAAUCUUUAGAGAGAACUCUAAAACAAAAAUCAAAUAAAAACAGCUCUAGCAAAAGGAAUAUUGAGGUAUGUUGAUUCCUAUAACCUAAAAUAAGUUGGUUAAAUGAGUUGGAGACUGCAGAGGGCACUUUCUAGUAAUUAACAUAUGUCAUAUCCAAAAUAGUCUGUGAUACAGCUAUCUUUAUUGCUUUUGCCUAUCAGUUCCUGGGAAGUACCAUAGCAUGUCUAAUACCACAAAGCUACAAGACAUCAGAUUCAGGUCUGGAGGCAGUUUUUCUGACUUCAAGAGCAUAGUGCAGAGGAAAGGAGAGGAGAGGUUGUGUAUAGCUGCUUAGCAGAAAGCGAGAGGGAGCUGAUAGAGAAGGCAUUCCUGGAAACUCUUAGAUCCUAAGUAAAGCUACAGACCAGAGAUUUGUAAAGUCUCCUUCGAAAUAAGCUGAUGUGUUUGUUUUCCCAAGGCUUUGUCACAUUCAGAUGACCAGUUAGACUCAGAUAUUGCCAGGGAAAGGGUUUCAUGGUGGAAAGCUAAGUAUUAGGUUGGUGAAAAAGUAAUUGUCGUUUUGCCAUUAUAUUCAAUGGCAAAACGGCAAUUACUUUUGCACCAACCUAAUUAUUUGUACAAUAGACUCAGGUACAGGAAGCGACAAUAAAUGGUAAAAUCCAGAGGGAUAAAUAUGACCUGGGUGAGACUCUUGGAUUUAGGACAUAGGAAGUAGGCUACUUGAGUCCACCUUGAGAAAAGAUAAGCAUGAGGAGGCAUGGCUUCAGUCCCAUUCUUGAACUGCCCAACUCUCCAGAAUGGAAAUCCAGUAAAAGAAGGGCUCAGAUUUCAGAAUGGUAGACAAAGGACCUCUGAAAAUUCACGUCUUUAAAAAGUGAAGAGAACACUAGCAAAAACUGCCAAAAGCUGCCUUUUCAGAACGUAAGAUUAUAACAAUCAAAGCAAUAUUUAUUCAAGAAACACGGCUGAAUCUCAGUAAGCACAGAGCCUUGUAGCCUUUUCAUGUACCCUAAUCUCAUCAGUCUCCCCAGCUCCAAAGUAGUCACUAAAGCCAGAGACUUCCCACAGCAGUAGCUGUGAAGGCAGCGACAUGCCUGCAUGCCACUGGAGGGGGCAAAACGGAUUUGGACCUAUGAAAAGUCCUUCCCCAAAGGAUCAGCUCCAUUUGAUGGGUCUAGAGCUUGCUGAAAAACUCCAUUUUCAGAGUUAGUCUUUAUUUGACAUAACUUAAAGCUUGCUGUGCACUACCCACAAGGUAUUUGGCAAAAAUAAUCAGCCACGAUCAUUUAACAUCACAGUUGCCACAGCAGCAUUACCAGUUGUUACUAAGAAGAGUCUGAUCAAAAAACUUAAAAUUGAGUAGCUUAAAACCUCACACAUUUAAUAUCUUAUGAUUCUGGAGGUCAAAAGUUUGACACCAAUCUCACUGGGCUAAAAUGAAGGUGUUAGUUAGAAAGCUUCAUUCCUUCUGUAGGCUGUGUGGGAGAAGGCAUUUGUCUGCCUUUUCUUGCUGCCAGAGGCUGCCUGCAGUGCUUGCCUCAGAAUCCCCUCCUCCAUCUCCAAAUGCAAUAAAGUUGCAUCUCUUUGAAAAUUCUUCCACAAUCACAUCUCUCUCUGACACUCUGACACUGCCUCCUUUCAUUUUUAAGGACCCCACUACUGAGUGUGCUCCAAUAAUCCAGGAUAAUCUCCCGAUUCUAAGGUCAGCCAGUUGGCAACCUUGACUUCAUCUGCAAACUUAGUUCCCCUUUGUCAUGUUAUAUAAAUGACUCAUGGGCUUCAGGAAUUAGAAUAUGGACAUCUUUACAGGGCUAUUAUUCUUCUCACUGCACCAUUUGACCCAGCAUUUUCACUCCUAGAUAUAGCCAAGAUAACUGAAAACAUACGCCCAUUAAAAAAAAUGUGUAUAAGAAUGCUCUAAGAAGCAUUAUUUAUAAUAGCCCAAUAUAAUUACCCAUAUGUUCAUGAACUAUUGAGUGGAUAAAUAAAAU
rnacentral:lncRNA from 10 species